UGGUGGAGUGAUUUGUCUGCUUAAUUGCGAUAACGAACGAGACCUUAACCUGCUAAAUAGCCCGCGUCGCUUUGGCGGCGCGCCGGCUUCUUAGAGGGACUAUCGGCUCAAGCCGAUGGAAGUUUGAGGCAAUAACA
rnacentral:rRNA from 1 species